CCUACGGGAGGCAGCAGUGAGGAAUAUUGGUCAAUGGGCGGAAGCCUGAACCAGCGACGCCGCGUGGGUGAAGAAGCGCCUCGGCGCGUAAAGCCCUGUCAGCAGGGAAGAAAAUGACGGUAACUGAAGAAGAAGCCCCGGCUAACUACGUGCCAGCAGCCGCGGUAAUACGUAGGGGGCAAGCGUUAUCCGGAUUUACUGGGUGUAAAGGGGGCGCAGACGGGGAUGCAAGCCAGGAGUGAAAGCCCGGGGCCCAACCCCGGGACUGCUUUUGGAACUGCGUGGCUGGAGUGCAGGAGGGGCAGGCGGAAUUCCUGGUGUAGCGGUGAAAUGCGUAGAUAUCAGGAGGAACACCGGUGGCGAAGGCGGCCUGCUGGACUGCAACUGACGUUGAGGCCCGAAAGCGUGGGGAGCAAACAGGAUUAGAUACCCUUGUAGUA
rnacentral:rRNA from 1 species